ACCUUACAGCUCAGUUGGUUAGAGCAUGGUGCUAUUAAUGCCAAGGUAGCAGGUUCAAACCCCAUAUGGGACA
rnacentral:tRNA from 1 species